UAUUCAUUCAUUCGUUCAUUCCACAGUCACAGCAUUAAAAAGAGUCGGCUAUACACUCAUCUGCGAAUUUGAUUAUUUUAAUUUUUUUUUUAAAUGGGGACAUGACCCUUUUUUUUUUUUAAUUUUUAUUUAUUUAUGAUAGUCACAGAGAGAGAGAGAGAGGCAGAGACACAGGCAGAGGGAGAAGCAGGCUCCAUGCACCGGGAGCCCGAUGUGGGAUUCGAUCCCGGGUCUCCAGGAUCGCGCCCUGGGCCAAAGGCAGGCGCCAAACCGCUGCGCCACCCAGGGAUCCCUUGAUUAUUUUAAUUAUGAACAGCAUAUAUAUUUUCAUAUUUAUCAUUCCGUUUUUACGACCAUUGUAACAGCUGCCUUUCUUGCUUUCCCGGUGGCGGAGAAGAGUAAGGUGGGGGGUUUGGGGAGGCCGCGGGGAGGGGUCAGGAGGCAGGGCCGGUACCCGCGAGCCACGGAACCCGCGGACGCGGACGUGCGCGCCCCGGAGGACAGGCGAGGGGACGCCAGCCGCGGGGACGCCCGCCGCGGCCGGACCGGAAGUGGAGGCUGCCGAGUCCGCCCCCCGAGCGGAAGCUGCGGCGGGAGCCCCGGCGGGGGCCGCGGCGGGGCUGCGGUUCUCGCAGGUGAAAGGGAGGACUGGCCUUAUCCUGCCUCUUUGCCACUCAGCCUUCGGGAGAGGACGUGGGAAGGUCCGCCCAGAGUGGGCUUGAUGGCCACGGAGCCCCGAGGUGCCCCUAGAGCCGCGGCAAAGGUCGCCUGGGCCUCGGCCGCAUUGUUCUGAGCCUCGGUCCGCUCGCAGUCAGAAAACUGCCCAGGCCAGCCUCGAGGCGUGACGGGCCAGGCUGGAGAGAGCGGCGGCGUGCGGAGCGGGGCUUGCGUGCAGAGGAGGGGCUUGCUCUCCGGACCCCGCGGCACCGGGUUAAGUGGCCAAGGUGGAGAUCCUGCUCUCGGUGCUGUCUGCGCCACCGCUGGGCCUCCACCCCCAAGCCGAGUUCCGUUGUUCGUAAGACUGACAGGGGAGGACUUGGUGUACCGCGACCCCCGAGGGCACCCACCGUUGCUGAUCCUGCUGCCCAGAGGAGAGUCCGCCGACCGGCAGUAAGUGCCCACCUGACGCUCGCACUUUACAGUUCCAGUAAAUGUUGUUUGCUGUCAACACGCCCUCAGCACUGGCUGNNNNNNNNNNNNNNNNNNNNNNNNNNNNNNNNNNNNNNNNNNNNNNNNNNNNNNNNNNNNNNGAUUAGAGC
rnacentral:lncRNA from 12 species